CGGUGGGUAGGGUCGGGGGGCCAGCCGUCCCCUAAACCUGAAACCGGCUACACGCAGGGACCAGCAACUCACGGGUAAACUCGGUUCGGCCCGUGUAUCUGACGAGCACCGGAAGCUGAACCUGCGCCUCUGUGGGCCGUCACAAGAAGGAAGGCGUCCCUCGAAGGAAGGACUUCCCCUUCGAGCCGGCGAACCGAGUCAGGCCCGGGAGGGAGCAGCUCUAAGCCGGUGUGGCGGCGCUGCCGAGUCCACGUGGGGGAUUCGCGGGCUCGCCGGCGCAUGGACAGGCCGGGGAAAACCGCGGGAGCCACCG
rnacentral:SRP_RNA from 1 species